CUGGAUUCGACGGGAUUUGCGAAACCCAAGGUGCAUGCCGAGGGGCGGUUGGCCUCGUAAAAAGCCGCAAAAAAUAGUCGCAAACGACGAAAACUACGCUUUAGCAGCUUAAUAACCUGCUUAGAGCCCUCUCUCCCUAGCCUCCGCUCUUAGGACGGGGAUCAAGAGAGGUCAAACCCAAAAGAGAUCGCGUGGAAGCCCUGCCUGGGGUUGAAGCGUUAAAACUUAAUCAGGCUAGUUUGUUAGUGGCGUGUCCGUCCGCAGCUGGCAAGCGAAUGUAAAGACUGACUAAGCAUGUAGUACCGAGGAUGUAGGAAUUUCGGACGCGGGUUCAACUCCCGCCAGCUCCACCC
rnacentral:tmRNA from 1 species